GCUCUCUUUGCCCGAAGCCCGCCCCCCUGCCCGUCUUCUCUCCGUCCCAGGGUCCCCUUUCCCAGUGGGACGCAAGAAGGCCCACAGGGCCCAAACGCUGGAGACGGGCAGCGCACACAGCGCGCCCUGGGUCCCGGGGGGUGCGGCGGGAAAGCCUUGCGGCACAGAACCCUGAAGCCCAGAGGUCUCGAGACAGGGAGAGCCGGGACGUCGGCAGGCACCGACGGGCCUUCGGACGCGACUCUUCCUCCCCGUCGUCACACCGUGCUGCUCCUCCCUCCGUCCUGGGCGCGAGCGCGCUCUUGGGAAAACGGAGGCGCCUUCGUCGGUGACCUAGCGGGCGGGAGAUCCCGGGCAACGUCCCCAGCGGCACUUGAGCAGAACGGGGACGCUGCGGUCGGUCGUCGGGGAGGGGCUUCUACAUGUCUGGUAGAUGGAGCUGCUUUCUCGUGCCAAGUUCUCUGGGCCCUGACUUUUCUGCCUGCUCCUUCUAUCACCUCAGUAAGGUCGGGGGUGCCCGGCAGAAAGAGGAAAAGAGCCAGAGUGAAGAAGCGGAGAGAAAGGAACACGCAAAACCGGACGCGCACACACACAGGCACACAGACACACAUGUCGCGCGCGCGCGCACACACACACACACACACACACGCCUACACAGCCACUCGCACAACACGCACACGCACACGCACACGCACACGCAAGCGCAGACAGAGCGCGCCAGCGAGCUCCGGUGCCUGUCUGUGGUUCCUGGGCGAUGGCGGGGCAGCGAUGCCGGGAGCCCGGGACUCCUGAGAGCCUGUCUGCGCGGCCUAGGGCCCCAGGGGUGAUCGCCAGCCCCGGGGCCCCUGCCUCCUGGCCCGGGCCCAGCUCCAGCACCACCGCCCUCCUGGGGGGGAAGCGAGCUCUUGGGCAGAGCCUCUCUGGGUCAGGGUGGGUGUCUGUCUAGGUCCGUGUCUUGGAUCCUCUCCGUGUCGCCGUUUCUCUGUUUCUCCGUGUCUCUGUCUCUGUCUCUGUCUCUGGGUCUCUGGGGCUGGCGCCAGCAGGAGCUGUCCAGGGUCCCCGCGAGGGGCGGGUUGGGGCGGGGUGCCGGUCUCCUGGGCGGCGCUGGCGGGGGAAGGGUGGCCGCCCCGCCUCCCCGCGCCCUCAGGGGCAGCGCGGCGGGCUUCCGCUGACGCCCUCUGGUCGCGCCGGUGGCUCCGCCUGGGUUUGGGCAAGUCGGGGCCCGGCCGGCGCCGCAGAGGUCAGGGCUCCCGCUGGGAGGCCCCUCGGGCCGGAGGGGACUCAGAGGAGCACGGGCCCGGCGGCCCGACGCCCCGACGCCUCGGGCCAAGUGCCCCGCGCCCCCCACCUCCCAGCAGCCGCAUCUCCUGCGACCCAUCGCCGGAUCCGAGCGGCCAGGGCGGCCUGGAGUGUUCCCGGGCCGCGAGGGGAGAGCGCCCAGCCAGGCGCCCCGCCCCCAUCCCCGCCCCCACCACCCCUCGUUUCCCACCGCCGCCCGCCCCGCCCCGCCUCCUCGCACCCCGGGCUGCUCCAGGCCUCCGCGCCCUGGGAGGGCAGCAGGGCGGGGCAGCGCAGGGUUUGGCUGGCCCGCUGGCCGCGCCCGAGGCGGCCGCGGCGGGAGGCAGCAGCGGGAGGAAGGCGGCAGGCCGAGCGCGGGCGCAGGGGGCGCCGGCGGCGGCGGGUGCGCGUCACAGAGGCCUGGGCGCGCGCGCGAGCCGCGGGCCGGGCGACGCGGCGCGGCUUCUUAGGGGCGCCGGCGGCAGGCGCCAGCGUCUACGGCCAUACCACCCUGAACGCGCCCGAUCUCGUCUGAUCUCGGAAGCUAAGCAGGGUCGGGCCUGGUUAGUACUUGGAUGGGAGACCGCCUGGGAAUACCGGGUGCUGUGCGCCCGAUCUCGUCUGAUCUCGGAAGCUAAGCAGGGUCGGGCCUGGUUAGUACUUGGAUGGGAGACCGCCUGGGAAUACCGGGUGCUGUAGGCUUUUGCCUCCCUCGCCUUUUGCCGCCUCCGGCCUCCGUCCUCCGCGGACGCCCCCCACCCCUCCAGCCAGCCCUCCCCCACCCCCCCGCCACCCUCCGCACCGCGGGCCCGCCGGCGCCGCCCAUGGGCAGGGCCCAACCCCUCCCCGCCACAGCCCAACCCUUCCAGCUCGCGGCCCCACCCGAACCCAGGGCCAAUCGGGGCCAGCCCGGCGGGACCGGGACCGGGACCGGGACCGGGACCCCGACGCCGCACACGCCGCCCGCCGGCUCCCUCUGGCCUCGGCCUCUUCCCACCCGCUCGGCUCCCGCUCCGGUGACACCCCAGCCCUUCCCUCGGCGCCCCGCCCCCGCCGCCCCAGCCGCCGGGUAGAGUCGUCCUGUCAGGUGGAACGGAUUCCACGGCGGUGCCGGGAGGCCCAAACGGGUCCCAAAGCGACCAGCCCCGCCCACCGAGGAAAGACACCUGGUCAGGCUUUUCCAGACACCGCCCGCUUCUCCAAGGACAGGGCGGACUGGGUUAGAGAGGCGCGUCUCGGGCACCUCACCCAAGACGGGAUGGCUUCUGCCUUUGCUGGCGUCUGUGCCGCUGCAGGUCAUCUUCUAAAACCUGGUACCCGCUCGCUUGUCCUUGAGAGGCUCAUUCACAAUCAACACUCCUUUCCCGACCUAAGUUUGUCCCUGUCAGUUUGUCUCGCUUUUCCUUCCAGAAGCCCCCUUCCCGGGGUGGGGGGAGGGGGGAGGUGGUGGGGGGGUAGGGGAGUGGGUGGGUCUGAGUUUCAAGCUCCACCUGACUGGGAUCCCAUUCUGCUUUCGCCUUCGGGCGGUCCUGCCUCGCUUGGAAACGCUGCUACGUUGCUCCUGGUGGAUGAGCUUGCGUUCGUUUUGAGUUUGAGAACGCUGGAUGCAAAGAUGAGGAGUCUUGAUGGCUGAGGCUUUUGGUGUCCCCUCACUCGGGGGCCUCCCUCUCUUCCCGCCUCCCCCCGCCUCCCCACCCAC
rnacentral:lncRNA from 1 species